AUUUAAAUAGUGUAAUAAUAACACGUAACAUUUUCACUGUUAAAUUCCUUCUGGUUUAAAUU
rnacentral:tRNA from 1 species